GGGCUGAACCCGAGGCAUAUGGAAGUUCCCAGGCUAGGGGUCAAAUCAGAGCUACAUCUGUGACCUACACCACAGCUCGUGGCAACGCUGGAUCCUUAACCCACUGAGCGAGGCCAAGGAUCAAAUCCACAUCCUCAUGGACACUGUGUUGGGUUCUUAACCCACUGAGCCACAACAGGAACUCUAAGAGAACAGUCUUCUUGGCAGGAGGAUCUGGAUUCAGGUGAGACCUGGGACCCAGCGAAAGACUGUGCCUCUCAGGUUACAAGGCAGUAGAUGUCUCCUCCACCCGUCUUCUCCUUGGAGGCCUGAUGUUAUUUCUCUUGGACGGCUUCAGCUUGGCUUCAGCUUUUCUACCACCGCCCUGCAGGGUCUGACUGCUGACAGCCAUUUGUUUCUUAAAGGCGAGAGUGCUCCUUGCCUCAGGUCACCUGACUGGGGAAGAACCUCACACAGAUCCUCAAUUCCAGAGGGUUCCCUGGGAAACCAGGUGGCUUAACUGGAAGCAGGUCAGCACCCUCAGCCGAUGGCAGCAGGACGGCGGCUCCGCCAUCCUCUCGACCGGUGGGCUGUACCCAUGAGAAGGGCUGUCGGCGCUAGUCUCCCAGACCUGCCUGCCCUUUGAGGCUGCGUGAUUCCCUCAUCACGGACCCUCCCUCUCUGUGUGGCCACCACAGCAGCGGAUGGACCGAAGGAUAAGCAUGAGACUCUCAACUUUCCCAGGGGAAUCUUUCCUCGGGAAUGUUUAAGAACAUGAACGAGGUUUGUGCCAGAAUCAGAAUCAGACCUCCAGGUGAUAGCCAAUGCCAGGCAGAGGAGGCUCUGUGAGGACCCCCAACAGAUAGACCCCAUCUAAGGCUCAGGGCUCAGGUAAAAGGUGUUUGGCUUAUGGGGUUUUUGGUUUUGUUUGUUUUGCUUUUGGGGGCUAAUCCUGCAGCAUAUGUAAGUUCCCAGGCUAGGGGUUGAAUUGGAGCUGCAGCUGCCAGCCUGCACCACAGCUCACAGCAAUGCCAGAUCCUUAAUCCACUGAGUGAGGCCAGGGAUUGAACCUGCAUCCUCAUGGAUACCAGUCGGUUUGUUACGGCUGAACCACAAUGGGAACUCCUGGCUUAUGGAUUUUACAGACAAGAUGGUUAAGAGAGGAAAUGAUGGGGAGAGAACAGCCUUUACUGUUCCAGUUUGUGUCCCAGGGGAGCCAGAUCUCACAAGACAACUUCAGAUGGGGUGGGGUGGGGCCGUGCAGGGUGGGACUCCCGUGCGCCUGUGCAGGCUCCAAAUGAGGUCAGCGAGCAGCGAUGCAUCCGGCGGAGAGGAAUGAACCCAGCUUCUGUUCAUCACGGAUCCUUGCGGGGCUGUUGGCCCUUGCUCCGUGUUUAUUAAUUUUUUAGAAAUGUCCUGUGGCCAGCCUAGUUUUACUCAAUGCCUAAUAAAGGGGAAAACUGUUUAUACGGCACCCCCGUGUCUGACACUGAGCAGCUGAAGUUAGCAGGAUCCUUCACUUUCAGAGAUGACACAAGCCAGCAGCCUGGGAAGAAAACUGCUCCUUGAGAAGCAUGCCAUGCCGGGUGACAGUGGCAGUGGCUGAACGUCAUGUUAAAUAAGGCAAAGAUCAGGGUAGGGAGCGCUCAGACGACAGGGGGAGAAAGCCCAAACUGCUUACUUGGCGGCUGGGGCUUGUUGUGUAAGAGUCCAGGGUAGACGGGUAAGUCACUGCCUAACCCAGCUGCACUUUGGACAGUCCAGGCGUCCCUCCACGUAAAGCCUGUUUAACAUUCUCCACACAGCACAGCAAACAAGGCCCGAGAACUUGGCCAGCGUCUGCAGUAAGCUCCCAGAGUGACAGCCACGUCUGCCCCCGCGCUCACUCCCAGGCCCUGCUUAGGGGGGAGAGCCACAGAAGUUGCCAUCAAAGGCCCCGACACUAGGGUCUGUUUUCUCUCCAGCCUUCACCGGCUUGUAAGACCCUGUGGUUCUUGACCAGGCCCUGCUUUCCCAUUUGCAGAGGACUCUGCCUCAGCAUGAAAGCGCCCGUGACCUUGCUGACAUGCCAGGCCAUUUGUUAGGACAGGUUUCCAAACUCGGGCUGAGGCCAUGACCAAACGCUGACACCGAAUGUCUGUCCAGGGCUUACUGUGCGCUGGGGACCACGGAAGAGCUCGGUGUGCUUUAUCUCUUCACGUCUGAUCUUCACAAAGAGUUAGGUCAGGGAGCGUCACUAUCUCCAUGUUACAGACGAGGAAACGGAGGCUCAGGCCAAUUCACCUACCCCACAAGGAAGCAGCAGAGCCAGGAUCUAACUUGUAACCAGUGCCAGCACUGCUUCCUCACUUUGAGAGCUACCCUGGGUGACCAAGCGCUCACUUCAGGAAGGAACUGGUGGCUUCCUGUCCCCUAUGUGACACACAGGCCAUGGCUUAGAACUGCCAAGUUUCUUUGCCCUAACUUCUCGAAGCGUAGACUUCUGUGAAGUAUCCACCAGGAAGGCGGUGUGUUCCAGUAGACAGUUCAUGCGCUUUGGAGGCAGAUGGAACUAAGAAAGAUUCUGCCUUUCUGACCAAAUACAGUGACCUGAUCUUGGACAAACCAGUCUUCCCCAAGCCCACUUUCUCAUCUACAAGAUAGGUGUAACCCCACUUGUCUGCAGGAGAGCCAUGAAGCUCUGCUGAGAUCACGUGGGUAAACACAGGCUGCUUCUCUCUUCUCUCCUCUGCCAGGAUGCUGAGGCUCUGCGGGAACCCCGUAGCUCGACCCCAAGGGGUGUGCUUCCUGCCUGCGUGCAGCCCUGGGCUCACCAGCCGCCAGCCUUCCUCCCACUCACACCUUUAACGGUCCUGGCCCAGCCUGGUGACGGAUUACAGCUCCGGGGGCAAAUUCCUCCAAUGAGACCACCCUCCUGGUAACACAAAAGUCUUCCAGCCCUAGAGCUGAACACUUCUAGCUAAUUCAGUCUCAGAAAUUACUUUUUCUUUUCUUUUUACAGCCACAACUGAGGCAUAUGGAAGUUCCUGGACUAGGGGCGGAAUCAGAGCUGCCUGAAGCUGCUGGCCUAUACCACAGCUCAUGGCGGUGCUGGAUCCGAGACGUGUCUGUGACCUACCUCAUGGCUCAUGGCAACGCCGGAUCCUUGACCCAUUGAGCGAGGCCAGGGAUCGAACCUGCAUCCUCACAGACACUAUGUUGGGUUCUUAACCUGCUGAGCCACAACAUGGACUGCAAACAUCACUCAUUUGUCAACUAAAAUAACUACAAGCUUGCUGCAGUGCUCCAUGGAGAUAAAACCUGACUGUGACCUUGUAAAGCUCUACAAACAGCUAUGACUGUGGGUUUACGAGUACUGACAAAAUGGAAAUAAUCUUGGGAGGGCUGGGGAGAUGUGAUUUUCAUUUAUUUAUUAUCAUUAUUUUGGCCUCACUCACAACGCGUGAAGUUCCCAGGCCAGGGAUGGAGCUCAUGACACAGCAGUGACCGGAGCCACAGCAGUGACAAUGCCUGAUCCUUAACCACGAGGUCACCAGUGAACUCUGUGAUUUUCCUUUUUUAAACUCUUCUUUAAUAGUCAAUUAUCGUUCAGUUUACAAAGGGGACCUUUUAGAGCAAACCCGAUGGGGAAGUUGCUUCUGAAGCAGCAUGGCCCCGCCAUUCCUCCUGGCCGCCCUCAUUCUGCCUGUUGGGCCUUUGAAGGAUUCCGCUGGGGGUGGGGGUAGGGGGGCCUGGAUCAGCUUCCCGUGGCAGCAAGCACCACACCGGGUUGGAAGGGGGAGUUUCACUGGAACAAAGCCCUGGGCCACCCAAGGAGCGUUCCACCAGCACGGCAGGUGCAGCUGGUGGCUCCUUUCCACCGAACGCACUUCUGGCUGAAGCAUGAGCGGCCCAGUCGCUCCCCUACCGUGGCCUCCUGUGGCAGAGGCCUGCCGCGGAGACGGGAGCCAGAGAAACAGUGGGCCUGAGCACCGGGAACAUGGACCAACCACAUCUGAGGCUUAGAAUGGAGCCAAAAGGUCUUAAAAUGGGAUACCCUGGACACCUACAUGUCCUCAGAGUGAGGAGGGCCCGUCCCGGGUGGAAGGACCAGCGGUCUGGGUGGGCUGAGCGUCUGUCUAAGGAGAAAAGCUGGACAGCGAGGCCGGGAUCCAUCGCGAGGAGCGAGCGACCGUGGCCGGAGGCCAGGCAGGCAGCAGCCGGGUGCAGCUCAACGAGGCUUUUCAAAGAGGUAUUCGAGAUCCGGGGCCCGCAGGCGCUGCUCUCUGUUCUUGUUCUUAGCAAAGUCUCUCAGCAGGGCCAGGACUUCGUUUUCAAAUAUUUCUGGGGCUGGUUUUGCUUCUGUUAGGAGACAGAUGGGCAACAAGAAUCAUGGUGGUCAGUCAUCUGUCAGGUCUGAUGAUCCUGAAACUCAAAACGCUGGCUUUGGCCAAGANNNNNNNNNNNNNNNNNNNNNNNNNNNNNNNNNNNNNNNNNNNNNNNNNNNNNNNNNNNNNNNNNCUUCCUCUGCACACACAAGGCGGCCUGGACCGAGAGCUGGCAACCUGCAGCAGCCUGUACCUGGAACAGCUGCUCUCGCUUGCUCCCAUCGUGUCCGUGGCUGCUUCUGCGCUACGACGGCAGAGCUGAGGAGCUGCCACAGAGACCAAGGAGCUGCGGGACCACAACGUUUACUAUCUGGUCUGGCAUGAACCAUUUUGCUGCCCCCGGCCUCUCCAGUCUUGGCCGUACUGUUCUGUUCUGCAUUUGGUGCUUCAGUUGUUUUCUGGGCACUGGGUUUUCCCUUCCAGUCUACAAACUUCCUGAGGCAACAGUCCUUGGAUGCCAGGGUUGGCAACUGGCAACUUUAGCAAAGGUGAGCAGGAGGGAAUGUACUGGAAGGUUCUUAGAGGCCCAGACAACUGACAAGAACCUGAAGAACCGGAUCUGGAUGGAGAGGCAACAAAGGCACCACGAGCACAGGACGGAGGAGGCCGGCCUCAGGGCAGGGAAGGGCGACCAACCUUUCUUUCCACCCUUGAGACACUCACUGAAGGUUCAAAUUACAAGCAGAGUUUCCCGCUGGGAAAGCGGAGGUACUGUGCUCCGGAAUGAGCCUCCUGGCGCGACUAAAAGCGACGCUAGGAGAGGGACUUCCUCACAGCAAAGUGUGCCUUCCCCUCUCUCUGUGCCUUCCCCUCUCUCGGCAGAGCCUGGCAUUGGUGUUUUGGGUUGAGGAUCAAAACCGGAUUAUGGAGACUGAGGCUUCCUCCCAGGCUGUUGAGUUAUCAAGCACACUGCACUCACGCCAACAAGAAAAAGCCAAACUGGAAAGAUCCGAACUUUCUUGGAUUCAUCGGAGAGCUGAGGUCACAGGGCACCCAAAGAGAACAAAAUCUAAAGCAAGAGAGGCCCCUCAAAGGAGACAAUGGACAGGAACACAGGCUCACUUGACGCGGGGCACAGGAGGAAGAGGCACUGGGCACCCUACAGAUGGGUGAGAAGAACUCAGCUCCCAUCAACUGCCAAAGCUUCACACAGGCUAGUGCGAGAGUAUAAACCUCUGGGAGCCAGAGACACAAGGAAUUUGCAGGUUCUUCUCAACAAGCCCCCUGAGGACACGCCCAACAGAGCCUGGUCCAGAGCAGGAGGCUGGAGAGGGCCUCCCUCAGGGAUGCAGGCCAGGAGGAGGGGGGCAGCUCUCGGCCAAACAGCAUAAAGCCCAGCCUGGUCUGUCUCUACAGCACAAAAGCCCAAAGCAACUGGAAGCAGGUCAGUGAAUCCUAACUCAUACAGAGCACAUGUGAGGACCCAUGUGGGCUGGCAGAGCGUGAAAGAAAAAACCCUCUACCUCUGUGGGACCCGCAGGAGAUCCCCGGCCCCAGGGACCGAAGCUGGACCAGGAUAACAAGGAAUCCCCUGCCGAUGGUCCCUCCCAACCUAACAAAAGCACUAAGUGGAAAUCAACAUGCAUCUACUGCUGAGGGAGGGCAGGAACGUACAGAGAUUCCCUUUGAGGCACAAAAAUACCAGGAGGCCGAAAGCUGAGGGUAGAACAAACCACUGAGGAACACCCUCUGGAAAUGUCCCCAUCCUAAGCGCAUGGAAACGGUAGAGGCCGGGGGGUGAACCGCGGGCAGCUGAAGCAGGAACAAAAUCCAAAGUGAGCGUACCUCCUAACCAGACCGACUCGAUUCCCAUUCUAAAGAGCCUGGCAGGUGAAGUAUGCCCAUUUCUGGGCAUAAACACUCUUUAUCUCAGUUGAUGCCUAGCAUUUAAUAAAAUUAUGAAAUACGCAAACACAAAAGAAAAGUGAAAACAACAACAACAACAACAAAAAACCCCACACUGUGAAGGGACAAAGCAAUCAACUGAAACAGACGCAGGGAUGACCUGGAUAUUAGAACUAUUCGAUGGGGAAUUGAAAUAAAGUAACUAUGACUACUAUGCUAAAGGUGCCAGUGGAAAAAGCAGGAAAAACACACAAACCGCUAAGGAACUCCAACAGAGGGGUGGAAAUUGUAAAAGUCAAAUGGAAAUGUUAAAAAUAAAAAUAGAAAUAUAGUAGCCUCGAUCCGGCGUUGCCGUGAGCUGUGGUGUAGGUUGCAGACGCGGCUCGGAUCCUGCGUUGCCGUGGCUCUGGCGUAGGCCUGUGGCUACAGCUCUGAUUCAACCCCUAGCCUGGGAACCUCCAUAUGCCGC
rnacentral:lncRNA from 1 species